rnacentral:rRNA from 1 species
UCGAGCGAAUGACGAGGAGCUUGCUCCUCUGAUUUAGCGGCGGACGGGUGAGUAACACGUGGGUAACCUGCCUGUAAGACGGGGAUAACUCCGGGAAACCGGAGCUAAUACCGGAUGAUAACGAGAAGCGCCUGCUUCUUUUUUGAAAGUCGGUUUCGGCUGACGCUUACAGAUGGGCCCGCGGCGCAUUAGCUAGUUGGUGAGGUAACGGCUCACCAAGGCGACGAUGCGUAGCCGACCUGAGAGGGUGAUCGGCCACACUGGGACUGAGACACGGCCCAGACUCCUACGGGAGGCAGCAGUAGGGAAUCUUCGGCAAUGGACGAAAGUCUGACCGAGCAACGCCGCGUGAGCGAUGAAGGCCUUCGGGUCGUAAAGCUCUGUUGUCAGAGAAGAACAAGUACCGGAGUAACUGCCGGUACCUUGACGGUACCUGACCAGAAAGCCACGGCUAACUACGUGCCAGCAGCCGCGGUAAUACGUAGGUGGCAAGCGUUAUCCGGAAUUAUUGGGCGUAAAGCGCGCGCAGGCGGUCUUUUAAGUCUGAUGUGAAAGCCCACGGCUCAACCGUGGAGGGUCAUUGGAAACUGGAGGACUUGAGUGCAGGAGAGAAAAGUGGAAUUCCACGUGUAGCGGUGAAAUGCGUAGAGAUGUGGAGGAACACCAGUGGCGAAGGCGGCUUUUUGGCCUGUAACUGACGCUGAGGCGCGAAAGCGUGGGGAGCAAACAGGAUUA